GCGCCCUUAGCUCAGCGGAUAGAGCGUUGGCCUCCGGAGCCAAAGGCCGCAGGUUCGAAUCCUGCAGGGCGCACCA
rnacentral:tRNA from 1 species